rnacentral:rRNA from 1 species
CAAUAGCGUAUAUUAACGUUGUUGCAGUUAAAAAGCUCGUAGUUGGAUUUCUGGAGGGAGCGUCGGCCCGUAUUUACGAGUGCGUGACGUCUCUGUCCAUCCUUGCGGGAAGGCACGGCAUUGAUUUGUUGUGUCGGAUCGCAUCAUUUACUGUGAAAGAAUUAGAGUGUUCAAAGCAGGCUUUCGCUUGAAUACAUUAGCAUGGAAUAAUAAGAUAGGACUUUGGUGCUAUUUUGUUGGUUGAGCCUAAAGUAAUGAUUAAUAGGGAUAGUUGGGGGCACCUGUAUUGCGUUGUCAGAGGUGAAAUUCUUGGAUUUACGCAAGACAAACAGCUGCGAAAGCGUCUGCCAAGGAUGUUUUCAUUAA